rnacentral:rRNA from 1 species
GAUGAACGCUGGCGGCGUGCUUAACACAUGCAAGUCGAACGAUGAACCUCACUUGUGGGGGGAUUAGUGGCGAACGGGUGAGUAACACGUGAGUAACCUGCCCUUAACUCUGGGAUAAGCCUGGGAAACUGGGUCUAAUACCGGAUAUGACUCCUCAUCGCAUGGUGGGGGGUGGAAAGCUUUUUUGUGGUUUUGGAUGGACUCGCGGCCUAUCAGCUUGUUGGUGAGGUAAUGGCUCACCAAGGCGACGACGGGUAGCCGGCCUGAGAGGGUGACCGGCCACACUGGGACUGAGACACGGCCCAGACUCCUACGGGAGGCAGCAGUGGGGAAUAUUGCACAAUGGGCGCAAGCCUGAUGCAGCGACGCCGCGUGAGGGAUGACGGCCUUCGGGUUGUAAACCUCUUUCAGUAGGGAAGAAGCGAAAGUGACGGUACCUGCAGAAGAAGCGCCGGCUAACUACGUGC